CUACGUGCCAGCAGCCGCGGUAAUACGUAGGUCCCGAGCGUUGUCCGGAUUUAUUGGGCGUAAAGCGAGCGCAGGCGGUUAGAUAAGUCUGAAGUUAAAGGCUGUGGCUUAACCAUAGUACGCUUUGGAAACUGUUUAACUUGAGUGCAAGAGGGGAGAGUGGAAUUCCAUGUGUAGCGGUGAAAUGCGUAGAUAUAUGGAGGAACACCGGUGGCGAAAGCGGCUCUCUGGCUUGCAACUGACGCUGAGGCUCGAAAGCGUGGGGAGCAAACAGGAUUAGAUACCCUGGUAGUCCACGCUGUAAACGAUGUCGAUUUGGAGGUUGUGCCCUUGAGGCGUGGCUUCCGGAGCUAACGCGUUAAAUCGACCGCCUGGGGAGUACGGCCGCAAGGUUAAAACUCAAAUGAAUUGACGGGGGCCCGCACAAGCGGUGGAGCAUGUGGUUUAAUUCGAUGCAACGCGAAGAACCUUACCUGGUCU
rnacentral:rRNA from 1 species